UGAUUUCACACUGUCAAGAAAAGUCUCUAUCGAGGUUAAAGGUACCCGUACCGCAAACCGACACAGGUGGGUGAGGAGAGUAUCCUAAGGCCCGCGAGAGAACUGUUGUUAAGGAACUCGGCAAAAUGACCCCGUAACUUAGGGAUAAGGGGUGCCACCAGCCGGUGGCCGCAGAGAAUAGGCCCAAGCGACUGUUUACCAAAAACAUAGGUUUCUGCUAAGUCGCAAGACGAUGUAUAGGAGCUGACGCCUGCCCGGUGCUGGAAGGUUAAGGGGAUCUGUUAGAGCAA
rnacentral:rRNA from 1 species